AGCGAACGCUGGCGGCAGGCUUAACACAUGCAAGUCGAGCGGGCACUUCGGUGUCAGCGGCAGACGGGUGAGUAACACGUGGGAACGUACACUUCGGUUCGGAAUAACGCUGGGAAACUAGCGCUAAUACCGGAUACGCCCUUUUGGGGAAAGGUUUACUGCCGAAGGAUCGGCCCGCGUCUGAUUAGCUAGUUGGUGGGGUAAUGGCCUACCAAGGCGACGAUCAGUAGCUGGUCUGAGAGGAUGAUCAGCCACACUGGGACUGAGACACGGCCCAGACUCCUACGGGAGGCAGCAGUGGGGAAUAUUGGACAAUGGGCGCAAGCCUGAUCCAGCCAUGCCGCGUGAGUGAUGAAGGCCUUAGGGUUGUAAAGCUCUUUUGUCCGGGACGAUAAUGACGGUACCGGAAGAAUAAGCCCCGGCUAACUUCGUG
rnacentral:rRNA from 1 species